GAAGGGACAGCUCAGUGGUAGAGCGCAUGCUUAGCAUGCAUGAGGUCCUGGGUUCAAUCCCCAGUACCUCCA
rnacentral:tRNA from 1 species